UUUUAAAAAUUGGUAUUUUUAUAAUCGAUAUGAAGUUUUUGAAACAGGAAGACAAGGAUGCUUUGCUGUCUUUCAGAGCAUCUAUAGGCUAUGUUCCAGAAAAUGACUUCCUCAGGAAAAUUUCUCAUAAAGAUAGCAUUUAAAUCUGAGGUGAUCACUGAGUCAGCCAUGGGAGCACAGGUGAAGGCAAUUCAGCUGCGUGACUGGAAGGGGUGGAACCUGGCUGCACCUCUCCUAGACCCCAUUUAAGGGCUUACUGCCACUGAGGAGGGAUCUCUUUCUGGAGACUGAUCCUCUUGGAGUUUUUCCUGUGAACCUACAACACAGGGCUGACUUUAAGCUGCUUCAAAUGCAUUUCAUCAACUUCACCUAAACAAUCAUAAUCACUAUGUUUAAUGAAUUGCCUAACAAAUGCAAUUCUGCUCCUUGGACAAAGAUUUGAGAAUUCAGGUAAACAGCUAUCAGUCACCUAGCCAGCUGUCAGUGCCUAACAGGAAUCCGUAUUAAAAAUGAAC
ensembl:lncRNA